rnacentral:rRNA from 1 species
UACGUAGGGGGCAAGCGUUGCUCGGAAUUACUGGGCGUAAAGGGCUCGUAGGCGGCCAACUAAGUCAGACGUGAAAUCCCUCGGCUUAACCGGGGAACUGCGUCUGAUACUGGAUGGCUUGAGGUUGGGAGAGGGAUGCGGAAUUCCAGGUGUAGCGGUGAAAUGCGUAGAUAUCUGGAGGAACACCGGUGGCGAAGGCGGCAUCCUGGACCGGUACUGACGCUGAGGCGCGAAAGCGUGGGUAGCAAACGGG